GACGAACGCUGGCGGCGUGCCUAAUACAUGCAAGUCGAGCGAAGUUUUUCUGGUGCUUGCACCGGAAAAACUUAGCGGCGAACGGGUGAGUAACACGUAAAGAACCUGCCUCAUAGACUGGGACAACUAUUGGAAACGAUAGCUAAUACCGGAUAGCAGCAUUAACUGCAUGGUUGAUGUUUAAAAGUUGGUUUUGCUAACACUAUGAGAUGGCUUUGCGGUGCAUUAGCUAGUUGGUGGGGUAAAGGCCUACCAAGGCGACGAUGCAUAGCCGACCUGAGAGGGUGAUCGGCCACACUGGGACUGAGACACGGCCCAGACUCCUACGGGAGGCAGCAGUAGGGAAUCUUCCGCAAUGGGCGAAAGCCUGACGGAGCAACGCCGCGUGAGUGAAGAAGGAUUUCGGUUCGUAAAGCUCUGUUGUUAGGGAAGAAUGAUUGUGUAGUAACUAUACACAGUAGAGACGGUACCUAACCAGAAAGCCACGGCUAACUACGUG
rnacentral:rRNA from 1 species